rnacentral:rRNA from 1 species
UACCUGGUUGAUCCUGCCAGUAGUCCAUAUGCUUGUCUCAAAGAU